UACGUAGGGUCCGAGCGUUGUCCGGAAUUAUUGGGCGUAAAGAGCUCGUAGGCGGUUCGUCGCGUCGGCUGUGAAAUCCCGAGGCUCAACCUCGGGUCUGCAGUCGAUACGGGCGGACUAGAGUUCGGCAGGGGAGACUGGAAUUCCUGGUGUAGCGGUGAAAUGCGCAGAUAUCAGGAGGAACACCGGUGGCGAAGGCGGGUCUCUGGGCCGAUGACUGACGCUGAGGAGCGAAAGCGUGGGGAGCGAACAGG
rnacentral:rRNA from 1 species